rnacentral:rRNA from 1 species
CCUACGGGAGGCAGCAGUCGAGAAUCAUUCGCAAUGGACGAAAGUCUGACGGUGCGACGCCGCGUGGAGGAUGACGGCCUUAGGGUUGUAAACUCCUGUCAUCAGGGAGUAAGGCAGUUCUAGUUAAUAGCUAUUACUGUUGAUAGUACCUGAAGAGGAAGAGACGGCUAACUCUGUGCCAGCAGCCGCGGUAAU